rnacentral:rRNA from 1 species
GGAAGGUCCGGGCGUUAUCCGGAUUUAUUGGGUUUAAAGGGAGCGUAGGCCGGAGAUUAAGCGUGUUGUGAAAUGUAGACGCUCAACGUCUGCACUGCAGCGCGAACUGGUUUCCUUGAGUACGCACAAAGUGGGCGGAAUUCGUGGUGUAGCGGUGAAAUGCUUAGAUAUCACGAAGAACUCCGAUUGCGAAGGCAGCNUGCUGAACNGCAACUGACGCUGAAGCUCGAAAGUGCGGGUAUCGAACAGGAUUAGAUACCCUGGUAGUCCGCACGGUAAACGAUGGAUNCNCGCUGUUGGNCNNANNNNGUCAGCGGCCAAGCGAAAGCAUUAAGCAUCCCACCUGGGGAGU